rnacentral:tRNA from 1 species
GCUGGCGUAGCUCAGCCGGUAGAGCGUUGGUCUAAUAAGCCAUUGGUCGCCGGUUCAAUCCCGUCCGUCAGCA